rnacentral:rRNA from 1 species
CCUACGGGAGGCAGCAGUAGGGAAUCUUCGGCAAUGGACGAAAGUCUGACCGAGCAACGCCGCGUGAGUGAAGAAGAUUUUCGGAUCGUAAAACUCUGUUGGUAGAGAAGAACGUUGGUGAGAGUGGAAAGCUCAUCAAGUGACGGUAACUACCCAGAAAGGGACGGCUAACUACGUGCCAGCAGCCGCGGUAAU